CCAGGGGUAGAGCGCAGGCAGAGGGAGGCCCGUGGGCGGUGAGACCCUCCGGUGCCCAGGGCGCAGCGCUCGGCUGGGGCCGACGGGGCGCACGGGCGGACGGUGAUGAACCCGGAAACCCGGGAGCCAGGCUGGGCUGCAGCAGCCUUUGCUUGGACAUCAGAAUGGAGUCCGGGAGUCGCCCCUGCGCGGGCUGACGGAGGAGAAGGGGGCCUGCAGGGGGCAGGAGGGAGCUCCUGGCACAGGGACCCAGGGACUCGGACAGGCGAGCAGGGAGUGAGGCCGGAAGGAGGGAAAGCCAAAACCAGAGGAACAGAAACCAAGAAUAACCAGAAUUUCUGAAGACCUCUUGGAAAUCGGGAAUUCCAACUUCCCAGUUCCAAGGAUAAAAGUUGGCAAUGAAUUCCUUAAGUGGGGCCAUGAACACACCUAAAACUUUCCAACGGACAUCGAGGAGCCCCCAACCGCAUUUCAAGUGCCCCGGCUGGAAGCAGUACCUGUCCAAGAACCUCCAGCCACUCCAGUGGAUUAAAGAAUUCGACUCUGGGACGUGAUGCAUCUCAAGUUCUGUUAACACUCGAAAAAUUUUUGGACCUUCCAACUAAAAAUCACACUCAUGAUUCAAAAUAAAUUACCCAGCUGAAAGAAUGACAGGUUUCUUCCAUCAGUCUCUAAAUUUAUCAGAUUCAUCACCCAAGAUAUGCAGACCUGGUCCCUAAAGUUAAUGCAAAAGUAUUAAGAUGAUGGGAUUGAUUAAGUCCCUCACCCUGUUCUUUAGUUCUAAGCCUUGCAGGAGCUAAAAUGAGCACUUACCCACCAAGAGAACGCUUAGCAUCUGAAAGGAAUUGAGUGUGCCAUCCCAGGAGAACUGGCAUUAACAUCCCAGGAAACCUAAGACUCCAUCUCAGUCAGCUGAGUAUGCAUAUUGGCCAGAGAGUUUUGACCUGGACCUGAACCGCAGGAGGACGGGGACUUCCUUAUAGCAAACUAUGACCUUUCAGUCACCUCCCCUGCCAGCCAACAUUUCACUGAAGGUUUCCAUUCCUUCCACAAUGCUCAGAUUCUUCUGUGGGGUCAGAGAGAGGAGAGUACCUCUUAUAAGGUCUUGCACAAUAUUUCAUCCACUGUUUUCUCUCCUGAGCGCAUGCCAAGUGCAGAGAAGUGCAAAUCCUACACCAGUAAUGGGUCCCCAUUGUGAAAGCUGCCCCCUGUUGAGGACACCGACAUCCUUUGAGGUUGCAUAAGACCACGCUGGAGGAGGGAAUGGCUUAUGCAGAAGCUGAGGACAAGGCACUUUGAAAGGAGGUUGUCCUCCUUUGGAGCCCUGUUCUUGUCUUUGCAAGGUGAUUUCAACAGUUCCGUGUGUGUGUGUGUAUGUGUAAAGAAUGAUUGUGCUUUUCAGAGCAACAGAACCAGAUUAGGGCAAUACAUCAUGAGGACCUCUUGCCAAGUUACUAACAGAGGAAGUCUGUAUCACUGGAGUGGGAUCUUAGGGUGCCUCCGUGUUUUAUGCCUGGAGAAACAAGCACAACAUGCACGAUUACAAACAAAAAAAACUAGGGUUGGCAUUGCCAAAACUGUCACUGAUAACUUCUUUUUCCAGCUGUACUGUUUGUGCACACAUUUGUCCUGCUUGUUUGGAAAUAGGAAUGGAGAUAGAACAUAGAGUGCAAGUAAUCUUAGUUAUAAGCAUUUUGCUCAGUAUUUCUUAAACUUCCAUGAGUACUAUUGUUGAGUAAAACAAUUUGUUGCUUAGUAGGUGCUAUUAAUUUUAAAUAAAUUAAUUAGGUUUUAUACUUCGUAUUUUAAACUUCAUUCAUUCAUUCACUGGUAUUUUCAGUGGGGAGUUAUAAACACACACAAAAAGACUUAGAACCUUCUUCCUGGAUUAUCUACUGAAACUGCCCCUCUAGCUUUCCUCAGGCCCCCAGCCCGGAUUCUCCCAACUAAGAAUCCCUCCGGGAGGCUGUUGCAAACUGAGACCUUCUGCUCUGCAGUAACCAAGUGGGGAGGGAGUUGCUUCCUGGCAUUUUGAUUAUGAGAACCAUGAGUUUAAAUCUCAUGCCUUCAACCAGUUGUGACUUCGCCACCGAGUUGCAGCAAGGGUUUCACCUUGACAUGAACAGUCACUGGGGGUGAGUGCUCCAUCCCUCCUCCCCAUCUCUCAAGUUUGCCCCCGAGGUCCACAGCAGAUAAGGUCACACCAGAAAAGGUAUCCACCUCAUCUGGUGUGGACUUCUGGGACAAUCCUGAGAGACUGCUCACAACAGGGAAUACAUUCUCAGCUGAUUUUUUGAAGGCAUGUGUGGUGCCCUAGAAGACACUCAGUUCAGCCUUGACUUCCAUCAGUGAAGUCUUUUAAGGGAGAUGCUCCUCCUUAUUAAAUCCAUGUUUCCCUGGGGGUACUCCCUGGACCUGGAAGGCUGAGCUCAUCUGCAGUGUUUGUUUAGAAAUGGAAAAUUCCAGGUCUCUGUCCAGAAAUACUCUCUGAGGGUAGAAUCUUACUUUUAAAUAAAGCACUUCUUAAGUACAGUGAAGUUUAAACAUCACUACCGUAAAACAAACAAACAAACAAACUACAGCUGAUGUUCAUUGUUCAAGGUAGUUCUGUUCUGCAAACUCACUGCAAACACUGAAUUCACAAAUACUGAACCACUGACCUUAGGGAAAA